AAUUUGAAACCCUAAUACUUGAUCUGAAAACCCUAGUUUCAGAUUCUGAUAAAUUGAAGCCCUAAUCUGGGAAAUUAAUGGAGAAUUAUAAUGCUCUACUGCUAUUAUUAUAAUAUUAAUUAGGGUAACGCUUAAUUAAUUAGCAAACCCUAAUUUCAAAUUAUCGAACUUAAACUUUUCUGUCAGGAACCCUAAUGACGGAUUUG
rnacentral:lncRNA from 1 species